GUUGGUCCUGCUAGCUAAGGAUGAUGGGAACUGUAGUCUAAAAACAACUGGAGACCCAAGUUUGGUAAACCCUGCACUAGGGUAUUAAUCUCUUCAUGCAUUAAUUAGACUUGAGCAUGUUUGUUAUAUGAGGCUGGUUAUCCCACACUACUGAGACAUAUGUAUCAGUUUAAACAUAAAUAUGCUAAGAAAAUGUUUAUAUAGCUCAUUUAAACAGACAUACUGUAUAAUGAGUGUCACCAUAGUGGGUGGGGGGAGACUAUGACCAGGUGACCUGCUCAGUUUGUUGCUCUGUCUUUUUUUCUAGCUGGACUGGAACUAGAGUUAAUGGGGUUGUUUUACUAGCCUGUGGAUUACUAAUGAAUGGGAUGGGUUUUACAUUUAUUUUUUGCAAUGAAGUUCAUUUUAUGAUGUUAUUUUUCAUUGCUGUAUGUUUCUUUGUCAUAGAACUGUUUAAAAUGAGAACAAACAAAUUCCUCAGGCUUACAUUUAAUCCCCACAGGGAAUUUAAUACAAGGUGUUGUAUGUUUUCUUUUCCUUCAUGGGAAGGAGCAAUCUAGAUUCUGAGUGGAGAAGUGGCUGGCAGGAAGAAAGUUGACCCCCCAUUCUUUACCUGUCAUACUUCCACUCCCAAUUUCAGUGCCUAGUUCUUUGCUAAUAAACCCCUCAAACACCAAGGGAAAGUUACACAGAAUUCCAGGUAAAUUAUAGUUUGGCCCUAAAUAGAGUGUUUUAACUCAGGCUAACUCUAGAAAAUCAUGAGCCCAACCCUGUGGGAAGAGAUGAGUUGGAUGUUUUAUUCCAUUGAUCUGAUGAGUUAUUUUCCAGAAAGAGCUCUGAGCUCUUAAACAUAUGGACUUCUUGUUAGGAUCACUUGACACCUCCUGGUCUUUCCUCCUUGGGCGUAAACAGUUCUAAAUGACCUGUCAUUUUGCAAAAUCUCAUGUACCACAGCAAAUGCAAACACUUUACAUUUAUGGAAGGUUUCAGCUACAAUAAUAUUUACCUUUUACAUUUUGUUCUAUCUAUAAAUCCUUUUUACGGCAGGUUUUAAAAAAUAAGUAAAUGUUAUAUGACAUUUUUAUUACCUAUUUAUUUAAUAUCUCAAAUUAAAUGUCCUACUGCUGCAAUUUGGAGGUUAUGAAAAUGUUGAGAGAAUGACACCCUACUAGUUCUGCAGAUCUCAGUCCACCCACUUGGAGAAAGUCACUUUGAAAAAUGCAGCUUAUGCCACUCAGGAGCAAAUGGUUUGGGGAUCGUAGCCUAAAACACCACGUAAAGUAAUACAUUACCAUAACAGUGUACCACAACUGCUUAGCUCUGACAUUGUGCUAGUGAGGAUUGCACAUUCUGCUCCAUGCUAAUCUUAUCAGGAAGCAAUGUAAAGCAGUUCUGUCUAGAGGCAGAUUCCACCCAAGUGCCAUUUUCUUGACCGCAUACUUCAUCUUUUCGUGUCAUUAAAAAUGAAUAUGGUGUGUGUGUUUUCUUGACCUUUUCCUUCAGUUUCAAAGAUGUCUCAAGGCAAGCACAGAUUCUGCUGUCCUACUUGCAAAUGCAUUAUAAGAGCUUAUAUCUGCAAUCUAAACAUGCAGGCUUGUGAUAACAGCUAUUUUACAAAUAAGUUCCAAAAACUUACUGGCCUACAUGAUUUUUUGCUAGCAUGCCUGCCUAUCUCCACAUCUAAAAUGUAAGUCAUAUUAGUUAUCUCAGCAGCCCCAAAGUGUGAAGUACCAACCCUCUACCAAUUUCCCCCCAAAAACACACCUUGCCUGGUUAACUAGAAGACAUGCUUAGGGACUUCCGGGUUGGGGCCUCUCGCAAUGGCAGAUUUCCUCCGAUCGGGAGGAAUCCGCUCCGUGGAAAACAGGGUCUGAACCGCCACGGCCCAUCAAAAACCACAGGCGGGAGAAGCCUGUGGAUGUGGGAUUCGGCCGGCACCUUUGCGCCCCCCCUACUCGCGGGGAAACCCAAUUUCGGGGUUCCGGAGCGACAUGGGGUGAGUGGCGCGGUGCCUUGAAUCGACUGCUUCUUGCACGGAGUGAAGCCGCAUUGCUGUUGCCGGAGAGCGCUGACUUUUUCCUGUGGACAAUUGGAGCUUAAAUAACUGUCUGUGAGUAGAACGGAAAUUUGGAAUAAGAAAUUUCUUUUAAUUUGGCACUGAAGCGGGAAGGUCUAAACAGGAAGUCUGCCUUCCUCUUUUUGUAAAUAGAUUGAAGCAAAGACACGGCAAGCUAGAGCUUAGAAAAUCAUCUGUAAAGGAUCAAUUUUCAUCAUUUAAAAUUACUGAACCCCCCUUGGAAGCAGGAGAAGAGGGGGGAACUUUUUCUGGACUGAUUAAACUUGCAGAAGAUAAGUAAAGAAAAGCAAUUCUCCACCGUCCUGAACCUGGGAGCGGGGUGUCAGGACAGACGUUUUCGGGAAGUUCAUUGACUACUAUAGACAAACGUUUUUGACAGAUAGUUAAAAGAAGAGAAACAUAUUGAUUCCAUUGUUCCCCUUCACAUCUAAAAGGAACAAAAUAUUGACAAAAUAUCUGAAAAAGGAAACUUUGUUGUUAGAUUCGC